UAGGGAAUCUUCCGCAAUGGACGAAAGUCUGACGGAGCUACGCCGCGUGAGUGAAGAAGGAUUUCGGUUCGUAAAACUCUGUUGUUAGGGAAGAAAAAAUGUAUAGUAACUAUAUACAAAAGAGACGGUACCUAACCAGAAAGCCACGGCUAACUACGUGCCAGCAGCCGCGGUAAUACGUAGGUGGCAAGCGUUGUCCGGAAUUAUUGGGCGUAAAGCGCGCGCAGGUGGUUUAGAAAGUCUGAUGUGAAAGCCCACGGCUCAACCGUGGAGGGUCAUUGGAAACUAAUAAACUUGAGUGCAGGAGAGAAAAGUGGAAUUCCUAGUGUAGCGGUGAAAUGCGUAGAGUUUAGGAGGAACACCGGUGGCGAAAGCGGCUUUUUGGCCUGCAACUGACACUGAGGCGCGAAAGCGUGGGGAGCAAACAGG
rnacentral:rRNA from 1 species